AAGCCCGAAUGUAUGAUCCUGGCUCAAAGUAAACGCAGUAUCUAGACCUAACACAUGUUGGUGAAGAGAUUAGAAGAUCAAUUUGCGGAGAGGUGAGUAAGAAAGAAAUUUACCCUUUAACCCUCAUAGAAGGUUAUUAUAAAGUAAAGGAUAAUUAAUUUUGAAGAUUAGAUAAAAGAUGAAAAUCUUGUCGAUAAUCUUUAGCAUAACGCCACAAUAACUCAAAAGUUGAGAGUUAUCCCAUGGCAGCAGUGAGGAAUAUUAGGCAAUCGGUGAAAACUGGACCUAGUCUAGAUAAGGCAAGGCAUAUAUAGCUAAGCCCUAAUCUAUCGCAAUUCGUGAUAAUGCAGCACUCACAACACAACACAGCAGGGUAUCAUUGAAUCAAUAAAAUGAAUAUUUAGAUUAGAAAUUCUGGCGAAAUCUGUGCCAGCAGCCGCGGUAACACAGAUAGAAUAGCGUUACUAUUUAAUUAAUAGGCAUGAAGCGUAUUUAGAUGGUUAAAAAACUAGAGUAAUAAAGGAGUAAUAGGAAUAAUCGGUGUAGAGAUGAAAUGUGUAAAUAUCGAUUGGAACUACAAAGGCGACGGCAUAUUGCUAUUUAUUACUGACAUUUCAAUACUAAAGUAUGGGCAGUAACGAGGAUUAGAGACCCUUUUAAUCCAUACCCUAAAUACUGAAUGAGAAUCAAAUUAUAAAUAUCAUUCCGCCUGGAUAGUAGGAUGGCAACAUUGAAACCCAAUGGAAUAGACGGGUCUUGAGAUAAGCCGUGAAGCAUGUGGUUUAAUUGGAUGAUCCCCCUUUAAUCUUACCUUUUCUUUUAAAUGGUGUUGCAUGGCUGUUGAUUAGCUUUUGAAGUAAUUUUUAAAAAGCAAUUCACCUCAUAGGAGGUUUCACUUCAAGUACGCAUGGCCCAAUGAAAAGGGCUACACACAUGCCACAAUUUCUAAUCCAAUUUCGAAAAUUAGAAGAAGUACAGAUUUUUAACUGAAACUCGUUAAAAUGAAGCUGGAAUGGCUAGUAAUCGUGUAAUAGUAAGAUACGGUGAAUAAUUAAAUCAAGAUUGUACUAACCGCCCGUCAAGGCAAUCUAGAUAUAUAAAGAAGCAAUAGAAAUUCGAAUAUUCUGGUUUGAUUUAUCAAUUUGAAAUUGAAUUUAAUUCUCAUGUAUAUCAAGAAGGUUUAAGUCGUAACAAGGUCACCGUACUGGAAGGUGUGGUGUAAACCGUAACAGG
rnacentral:rRNA from 1 species